GAUGAAGAACGUAGUGAAAUGCGAUAAGUAAUGUGAAUUGCAGAAUUCAGUGAAUCAUCGAAUCUUUGAACGCAUCUUGCGCUCCUUGGUAUUCUGAGGAGCAUGCCUGUUUGAGUGUCAUUAAAUUCUCAACUACACUGACUUUGAAUUGGUGUGGCUUGGAUUUGGGUGGGAAAAUUGUUGUGGGCUUUUUGUAUAGUCUGCUCCCCUGAAAUUGAUUAGCGGUACCUUUGUGGAACUGUCUACAGGUGUGAUAAUUAUCUACAUCCUAGACAUCUGCUGGAAUGCUGCUUUCUAAACCUUACUUGUAUUGACAAUCUUGACCUCAAAUCAGGUAGGACUACCCGCUGAACUUAAGCAUAUCAAUAAGCGGAGGA
rnacentral:misc_RNA from 1 species